AGUGAACGCUGGCGGUAGGCCUAACACAUGCAAGUCGAACGGCAGCACAGAGGAGCUUGCUCCUUGGGUGGCGAGUGGCGGACGGGUGAGGAAUACAUCGGAAUCUACUCUGUCGUGGGGGAUAACGUAGGGAAACUUACGCUAAUACCGCAUACGACCUACGGGUGAAAGCAGGGGACCUUCGGGCCUUGCGCGAGUGCAUGAGCCGAUGUCGGAUGAACUAGUUGGCGGGGUAAAGGCCCACCAAGGCGACGGUCCGUAGCUGGUCUGAGGGGAUGUUCAGCCACACUGGGACUGAGACACGGUCCAGACUCCUACGGGAGGCAGCAGUGGGGAAUAUUGGACAAUGUGCGCAAGCCUGAUCCAGCCAUACCGCGUGGGUGAAGUAUGCCUUCGGGUUGUAAAGCCCUUUUGUUGGGAAAGAAAUCCAGCUGGCUAAUACCCGGUUGGGAUGACGGUACCCAAAGAAUAAGCACCGGCUAACUUCGUGCCAGCAGCCGCGGUAA
rnacentral:rRNA from 1 species